UUAAUUGAUCUUUGGGCAUCUACUGACGAGUAGUAACUAUGAUGAUAAUGUCAAGAAAACUACUGGUGGACGAAAUGGGUAUGGUGCUAAGCUCACUAAUAUCUUCUCAACUGAGUUUAUCAUCGAGACCGCUGAUGGAAAGCGUCUGAAGAAGUACAAGCAGGUUUUCUCCAAUAACAUGGGGAAGAAAACUGAUCCAGUCAUCACAAAGUGCAAGGAGAGUGACAACUGGACCAAGGUGACUUUUAAGCCAGAUUUGGCUAAGUUUAACAUGACACAUUUAGAAGAUGAUGUUGUUGAGCUGAUGAAAAAGAGAGUUUUUGAUAUGGCUGGAUGCCUUGGGAAUAAUGUGAAAGUGGAACUUAAUGGAAAAUGAGUUCCUGUGAAAUCAUUCUUAGAUUAUGUUGAUCUUUAUUUGCGCUCUGCCCGCAAAUUAGAUGCUACUAUUCCAAGGGUUUUUUGUUUCACACUGAUUCUAGUUAAGGUUUUUUUUUUCUUCAUUUGUUAUCGUUUUUGCUAACAUACUCUUUUGACCAUUUCUCUGCAGGAUCACAGAGAAAGUGAAUGACAGGUGGGAGGUUUGUGUGAGGCUUAGUGAUGGGCAAUUUCAACAGGUUAGCUUUGUAAAUUCGAUUGCCACAACCAAGGGUGGAACUCAUGUAGAUCACGUCACAAGUCAGAUCACUAAUCAUGUCAUGAAUCUUGUAAAUAAGAAGAACAAGAUUGCCAACUUGAAAGCCCACAAU